CACUACUUAAAAAGGAGGAACAUGUUCCUUAUUCUGCCACCAGCUACCAAUACGUCAAAAGAUUUGGUCGUUCUGGUCGCGCUCAUCCCCGCACGUGUACAAAUGGGCCGGCCCAAUGAAACCUAGAUCGUCUUGAACUCUAGGUCCGUCGGUGGGGACUCCUGCUUGCCUUCCUCCGAGAGAACGCCCAAACCCUACCCCGCGUCACCCCCCUCUUUUUCUCUCUCGACCGUGGCGGCGGAGCUAUACCGUUGUUCUCCGAUGGUACGACCCGGGGUAGACGCCUGUAACCCACUUGGCCGGUGCCCUGGCGCGACGACCUCUAUGGCAGGCGCACAAUUGGGGUUGGCUGCGGCUGCACUUGGUGGGAGGCUGCAACGGUGGCCGCAGAGGCGCGGCGCGGGGGAGCCGUCGUACUCCACCUCGUCGUCGAGGUCCUCUAUGCCGACCACGACUCCGAGCGCCCUCGUCUCAACAACGACCGGCCGUCGGGGACCGUGGCCUCCUCUUCUCCCCUGACACCAACUCUGAGUGCAGCAACGGAUCCACCCAGAUUCUCCUCUACCCUGACCCCAACUCUGAGCAUGGCGGCGGAUCUUCCCAAAUCCGAGAACUCUGAGCACGGCGGUGGAUCCUCCCAGAUCCGAGAACUCUGAGGACGGCGGCGGAUCCUCCCGGAUCCGAGGCGGUGAGGUCACCACUCCGGCAGGCAGGUCAUAUCUCUCUUUGUUUCCCUCUCCGACUCUCUCUCUCUCUCUCUCUCUCUCUCUCUCUCUCUCUCUCCUCUCUCUACUGACCUCAAUCUCUGUUAUUAUCAACUGCGGUAAUUCUGCUGAGGCAAAUGGGACAGUGACGAACCUUGCUUGGAGCUAUUUUGAGGACCAUAUGCAGGUUCCAUACGAGAUUUCCAUGGUUUGUUUUGUUUGUCAAAGAAAAUUGCCUCUCUUAACUGGUCAGCUCUGUUGCAGUGUUAACUCAAGGUACAAGGAAUCACUCAUAUAUCUGAUGAACCGCAUCCCAAAGUCAAUGACUUGGACCUGUGAAAGGAGCAGCAGCAGCAACAAAUUAUGCGUUGGCAAGCAAGACAUGAAACAAAAUGCGUUGGGUUUAGAAAAAUGCAUUACAUACAUGAUCAACUCUUGGAGGAUCAUACUGAUGUAAGCACAAUCACUGCAUCCAAGAUUUGAUCUGAAUUUCCCUUGUAGCAAGACAGAAUAAGUCAAGUGAUGGGGGAGGGAUGAGGAGCUGCCUCCGAGCAUCGACACUGAAUAUUAGUGCAAAUCGCUGAACAGAUUAGCAGCAUGUGAAGUCAUAGAUCAUGCAAAACUUUCAUAGAGAUAUUGGAAUCAAGGUUCAACAUACAUCAUCUAGAAAUCUACUGGUGAAUUGGGAGAAACAUCUAUACUAAUAUAAGAAGAGCCAGAGUGAGGUGAAGCAUUCAUUUACCUAUGAUUUGCGUGUACAUGCAAGUCUUCUUUUCCACAUAAGUAGCAGGUGCUGUUAUUCCUUUGUUGCAAAAAACAGAGAUAUAAAAUGCAGAGCCUGCAAUCAUGUAUGAAAGCCAUAUGUUUGACUAUCAUAAAGCUAUAGCCAUAUGUAUGUUCAUCAGGGUCGAAAUUUGAAUGGCAUUAUAGUUUUCAGUGAGGAGUUAUUUCCAGUUACUUUAAUAGCUUGGUUAUGCUGGGAUGUGCGUGUUCGCUGAGACAUGCUCCGUCCAAAAAGUUCGAGUUUUUACAUUGCUAAUUUUUUCCAAGGUAAGAUUGGUCCCAACAGCGCAUCUAACGCUGAUCAUUCAAGUACUGCAAUUCUCCUUCCGUGGAUGAGAAAUCCACUGCCCACUAUUGCCUGUCAAUUAAGCUAUUUACGAUUAAAUGACUUCAGCUUCUAAAUUAGAUUUGUCAUGCAGAUCUGCACAUCAAAGAUGAGAAAUGUCGGCCAUAGGUUUCUACAACUCAUCCAUGAUUUUUUUUUGCUUCAGAGAGAGAAGGACAGACAUGUAAUGGAGAAAAGGAUCCCAACCGACCGCCUAAACUAUAUUCAGCCAAUGAUGUACCACAUUAUGAUAUUUUUGAUUUAUUUUGAAUUUUUAUAGUAAAUUGUGAAUUAUGUAUGUGCAUUGCGAAAUAAAGUUUGAGGACCCGUUGCAAGGCACGGGCAUUUGUACUA